CGUCCUAUUAGCUAGUUGGUGAGGUAAUGGCUCACCAAGGCUACGAUGGGUAGGGGUUCUUAGUGGAAGGUCCCCCACACUGGCACUGAGAUACGGGCCAGACUCCUACGGGAGGCAGCAGUAGGGAAUAUUGGUCAAUGGGCGCAAGCCUGAACCAGCCAUGCCGCGUGCAGGAUGGAGGCUCUCUGAGUUGUAAACUGCUUUUGUACAGGAGCAAAAAAAUCCCUGCGGGGGUUCUUGAGAGUACUGUAAGAAUAAGCACCGGCUAAUUCCGUGCCAGCAGCCGCGGUAAUACGGGAGGUGCAAGCGUUAUCCGGUUUUAUUGGGUUUAAAGGGUGCGUAGGCGGCUUAUUAAGUCAGUUGUGAAAUCCUAGUGCUUAACGCUAGAACUGCGAUUGAUACUAUU
rnacentral:rRNA from 1 species